ACUGUAAUUAAGCUUCAAAAAAUCAAACCAAUUUUCUCUAGGGAAAACAUAAAAUGAUUCAUUUCUCCCUUUACUGUUUAGCUUUAGUUUGUUAGUUUUUUUCCUGUACUAGAUGGGUGCUCUGUGUGCUAGUGUUCAGCAACCUUGCUGCCUUUGACUUAGUGCCCUCUUCUGUUUGAUAGCGUCAAUACACACAAACCCAGCAGUUAAUUGUGUUAAAUUAAUCCAAACAGAGAAAACACUGUUAAAAAACGUUGAAAAAGAACAUAGGCUGAUUUUUUUUAGAAGCAGAAAACUACAAUCAUACUAGACAUAGAAAGGCUCCACUAGGAGAAAAAAAAAGGAAUUUUCACAGUCCAUAGUGUCACACACUUUUUCAUAAUUACAGCUUUAGAGGAAAAGACCUUUUCUGGAGACUUCUUUUUUGGUUAUAAAUUGCAUACAUAACAUAUGCUUAUGCUUUCUUUUUUACAACUUGCUUUUUUCAGUGCAUUCCUAAAUCAUUUCCCUUGUUUUACAAAAUUAUGGAACUGCAGCUAAUGCAAAAAAUUUCUUGCUGAUUCAAAUUAAAAACAACAUAACCUGAACUGGUUCAGUGAAGCUGUGGCAACAUAGACCACCUACCUUAAUGAGAAAGCGGAGUUCACUUGUACAUCCUAAUAGAGCUGAGGAGGAUUUGGAACCGGGAACGAUAAUCAUCAAUAAAAUAGUUGGAGGAGGAGGGGGAGAGCAAACAAACAGAAGUUCCAUAAUACAAUUUAUUGACACCAACAUGGGUCAUCAUCAUGGUUGGAAUCUUUGUAUCUGCUACAUUGACUUUGUCGCCAGAGCUGCUAGUCAUGGAGUGACUUCAGUAUUACAGCACUAACUCCUGUUCAGAAUUGAAUCAAACGUUUUUUCUUUAAAAAAUGCCUUCCCUGAGGUUAUCACAAGGAUUCUAAACUUCAUAUUACUGGAGUUAUUGUUUAUUAGUGGCUUAAUAAAGCAGCGAUUAGUGCAUCCAAUAUGGACUGAGGAUGAAGAAAAACAGCAGGAAACAGAAGAGGGCCAAAAAAAACAUGGGUAAAUACUUGCUCUUGUGGUAUUUUAUUUGUAUGACUGUACAUCUGCAGGCCACAAUUGAGACUGGGGUACCACUGUGCUCAGUUUAUAAAUACACAGCCAGUUUCUGAGGAGCUCAUGAUCUACAUCAGGGGUGUCAAAGAUCCAGUCCAUGGGCUGGAUCUAGUCCACAAGGCCAUGUCUUACAACCCUGGGUGCUGGCCCCAAAUGGGACCAGUCUGGGACACCCCUCUCUUUCCCAACAUGCUGGAUCCAGCACCCACAGUACCCACUCCAGCCAAUGCAGGAUGUAAGCCAGACAUGAGGAAGAGAGCUCUGCAGGUCCCCAACAUGCCAGAUCUGGUGCCUGCUCCACGCAGUCUGGUACUCACGCUACACACAGCAUCCACCCCAAACUGUAUGGUGUGGGCACUGAGUAUAGUUCACAUCCCAAUCCAGCCAGAACUGAUGCAACGUGCAGUGCUGCAUUCACUGGGAUCUGGCUUGCAGGGGGAGGGGGAGCAGCGGAGGUGGCUGUUGUGGGCCUGCUCUGGCCUGCAGGGCCAGCUCUUCCCAGUUCAUUAAACCUGUGGACCAGUCCCAUGCCACUCUCUAGCCCAUGAGGCCAAGUCAGUUUGACACCCUGAUCGAUCUACAAUAGUCAGAAGAGAAAAUAAAGGGAAGUGACUUACUCAAAACCAUACAUCAAGUCAGUGGAAAGAUCAGGAACAUCAUCCUCAGCCUCUCAGAUCCCAGCCUGAGACUACUCCGCAUUUUACCGUAAUGUCUAGUACUGAAGAGCUUUCCCCUUCCCAAGCCACAUGCUCAUGUAAUCUGAUUAGAAAGAUAUACUUUCAGUCUAAUGAGUUGAUUCAGAAGUUUAAGAUGUACUUAGAUUCAUAUACAUAUUUCUGUUAACUAGUAUAUUUCAAUUAGUUCUCAAAAUAUCAUUUAUCCUCCCAUUAUUAUGGUAAACAUUAAAAAUGGGAGUGGAUACAUACUAUUUCACAGCAAAUGAAACAAAAGAAUUGACAUCAUAUUUUGUUUAGUUGUUUUGCACCACCAUGUUACAAGAUUCAGCAAAAAUUAUUUGCAAAAAACUCCCAAAACAAAACCAA